rnacentral:rRNA from 1 species
UACGUAGGGUGCAAGCGUUGUCCGGAAUUAUUGGGCGUAAAGAGCUCGUAGGCGGCCUGUCGCGUCGGCUGUGAAAACCCGGGGCUCAACCCCGGGCCUGCAGUCGAUACGGGCAGGCUAGAGUCCGGCAGGGGAGACUGGAAUUCCUGGUGUAGCGGUGAAAUGCGCAGAUAUCAGGAGGAACACCGGUGGCGAAGGCGGGUCUCUGGGCCGGUACUGACACUGAGGAGCGAAAGCGUGGGUAGCAAACAGG